rnacentral:rRNA from 1 species
GAUUAUGGCUCAGGACGAACGCUGGCGGCGUGCCUAAUACAUGCAAGUCGAACGGUCUUUUCUAUGGAAGCUUGCUUCCACUGAGAAGAUAGUGGCGAACGGGUGAGUAACACGUGGGUAACCUGCCCAUAAGAGGGGGGAUAACAUCCGGAAACGGGUGCUAAUACCGCAUAGUUUUCUUGAUCGCAUGAUCGGGAAAGGAAAGACGGCCUUUGUGCUGUCGCUUAUGGAUGGACCCGCGGCGUAUUAGUUAGUUGGUGAGGUAACGGCUCACCAAGACGAUGAUACGUAGCCGACCUGAGAGGGUGAUCGGCCACAUUGGGACUGAGACACGGCCCAAACUCCUACGGGAGGCAGCAGUAGGGAAUCUUCCGCAAUGGACGAAAGUCCGACGGAGCAACGCCGCGUGAGUGAAAGAAGGUUUUCGGAUCGUAAAACUCUGUUGUCAGAGAAGAACAAGUUGGAGAGUAACUGCUCCAGCCUUGACGGUAUCUGACCAGAAAGCCACGGCUAACUACGUGCCAGCCGCCGC